AGAAGAAAUUCUAAUGAUUUUCUUAAAGAAUUAUAUCAGUAAUUUCCUUUUUAUGCUGAACGCAAAGAUGAUCAUCUACCAUUAAAUGUCUCCAUGCUACAACAAUCAUCUUCAUUUAAGAAUAAAGAAAGACACAAUUAAGAGAAGAUAUAGCAAAAGAAAGAAAGGAAAUCAACAUGAAAAGAAGGAACAAAAAGCUUUAUAGAUCAUAUCAGGAUAGGAAAACGAUCGUGUGACAAAGAAAAUGUGACAAACUUUUUGACAAACUGACGUGACUUUAAUUAAAUGAAUUUUUUAAGUUACAAAAUAUUUCACUGUACAUGUGAGAGAGAAAUGUGAAGGAAAAGGAGGUGGUUCACGAAACGGGGUUCUCUUUCACAAAAGUUGCUCUCGCGCUGGAUUCAAAACAUUGCUGGUUUAUCAAAACUCUCCUUUUCGGUGCAGAUUCAAUUUCUUCAAUCCCACCUGCACGAAACCCUUUCUUCCCCACGGUGGUUCACGAAAACGAGAUUGCAGUAGAACGUUCCCGACGGUGAUUGACGGAAAGCAUUGAAUUUGCAGGUCGAAAAUUGAAGGUGUGGUGUUUACGGAGCUUACUGAGAACGUUAUCAGGCCUUGGGCUGGCGAUGGUGUCGUCCCAUAAGUGGUUGAGGCCCACUUAUUUUUUGGAAUUUCAAUUUUAUUCUUUUUUUAGGUCGUUGGUGAGUGUUUGUUGAUAUCUCUACUAAUUAUGGAUAUGGAACAAGGUAAUAGCUCCAUUGAAAAUAAGGUAUGUAGUGUUAUCAUACAUUUGAUUUGUGUAUGACAUUUUAAUAAGUCCCAUUUGUUUAGCUGUUUAAUUUUCUUUGCAGAUACAUUUGAGGCAUUCUUGUGGAACAAAAUAUGUUGCAUCUAUUAACAAUCAGUUAAUAGUAGAGUAGAAGUUAUUUAUUCAAGGAUUCUGUUUCGGAUGGUUAACAAUGUUGAUGGAGUCUAUGAAAUUGUCUAGAAACCUUCUUAGUAAAUUAUGUUCUAAGCGGGAUGAAGAGAGUGGAUGUUUUCAAAUUAGAUCUUUAUCAGUUGGAUUUACUUUAUUGGAUGUUUGUCUAGGUCUUAGGCUUAGGGUGGUUGGUCCAAAAUUCAAUUUAAACGAAAUCGAAGUGGAGAGUAAUUGUAGGAAAAUGUUUCAAACUAAGAACGUCGACUUAAGCACGUUGUAUAACUUCCUUAUGCGAAAUAGGAAGGAAAUUUUUGUACCUGACUUUUGUAGAGUUUAUAUAUUGUUGGGCAUUUGUGAAUUUUUAUUGCCAAAUCGUAGUGGUAGGGUUUUUCCAAUUCUGUUUAAGCUUGUAGAUGAUAUUGAAGGUCUUGGAAAUUUGAAUUGGGGUGUUGUUGUGUAUGAAUACUUGGUUGGGAGCAUAUGUCAUGCUUCUUUCUUGUUUAAGAGAGGUGAAACUAAACGACACUUCCAUAUAGAUGGAUGUGUAUAUUUGCUACAGGUAUGAAUUUUUGAUUUUGUGUUUACUUUACUUGAAUGAUGUUGUAAUAUUUGUUGUCGAUCGACAAAUCUUCUUCAUUCAUAUGUUUUGUAUUUAUGGGCUUAUGAGCAUCUGCUUAUGUGGUCCUAAAAGGUUGAUGUUUGUUAACCAAAUUCCCACGUGUUUUGCAUUGGAUGAAUGUGAAAAUGGGUGAUUUUGUCAUAAGUCAAAGUUUCAAUAAGAAUUUGGUAAUUUUGAAUUUAGUUCCUUUGUUUUUGUAGUUAUUACAUGAUUUUUUAUUACAUGCACUGAUUUUUGGGUUGAUUUUGAAAUCUUGUGCAAAUUAUUUUUGAUGUAGUUGCCUCACCAGAAGAGUUUGGUUAUGUAAUUGUCAGAGAAGCUUUUAAAGCCUUUGGUCGUGGUUUUGCUAAGAAGGUACACUUCACAGACAAGGAUGGCUUAAAACUCGCGGUUGAUCUACAAGAACAUGUCUAUAAGAAAGAUUGGUGAAAAAAAAUGCCACAUGUCCGUGUAAACUUGUUCUGCAUAAUCCUUUAUUGUGCUUGCCAUUUAAGUUGUUAGUGAUUGCCAUUUAAAGUUGUAGGCUUAGUAUAAGAAAACUAUUUUGGCACCUUAUAUGCUUCCCAUAUCUUGGUGACACCAAAAAAGUUGUAGUGAUUUUUGACUAAGAAAGAUUGGUGAAAAGAAAAUGCAAAUUCAUUUGCCACGU